AACGAACGCUGGCGGCGUGCCUAACACAUGCAAGUCGAACGGGAAAGCCCGCAAGGGUGAGUACAGUGGCGCACGGGUGCGUAACACGUGGGUAAUCUGCCCUGGAGCCCGGAAUAACUCCCCGAAAGGGGUGCUAAUGCCGGAUAAGACCACGGGGACUUCGGUCCCUGAGGGAAAAGGUGGCCUCUGUAUACAAGCUAUCACUCCUGGAUGAGCCCGCGGCCCAUCAGCUAGUUGGCGGGGUAACGGCCCACCAAGGCUACGACGGGUAGCUGGUCUGAGAGGACGAUCGGCCACACUGGAACUGAGACACGGUCCAGACUCCUACGGGAGGCAGCAGUGGGGAAUCUUGCGCAAUGGGCGAAAGCCUGACGCAGCAACGCCGCGUGUGUGAUGAAGGUCUUCGGAUCGUAAAGCACUGUCGGGAGGGACGAAUAAGGGCCGGGUGAACAAUCCGGUCCGACGACGGUACCUCCAAAGGAAGCACCGGCUAACUCUGUGCCAGCAGCCGCCGUAACAC
rnacentral:rRNA from 1 species